AAAGACGCCGACGUGUACACUCUCUCGUCGCGAUCUCUCUCUGGAUUUCUAUAGAGCCUUGCCAUUGGCCAUGCUCCGCUAUCUCUCCGCGUCGACCGCGCGCAGAGCUUGCGCCUGGAGUGCGGGCGCGUCGCUUUCUGCCGCACCUGGCGCCGCCAGCACCUUCUGUUCCUCCACAACCCCUGCCCGUUUGUACUCGAGUGGCAACAAGGACUACUACAAGAUGCUCGGCGUCGACCGAAACGCCGACUUGAAGGAGAUUAAGAAAGCUUACCGGAAGCGCGCGUUGGAGACCCACCCUGAUCAAGGCGGUAACAAGGAGGAAUUUGCAGAGGUGGCCGAGGCCUACGAGGUGCUUAGUAACCCCGAGAAGAGGAAGGUGUACGACCAGUACGGAUCCGAGGCGGCCACGAACCCGAGCAUGGGCGGCGCAGGCAUGGGUGGCUUUGGCGCCGGUGGCCGCUCUGCUGAGGACAUCUUUGCCGAGUUUUUCCGCGGGGGAAUGGGUGGGAUGGGCGGGUUUGGCGACAUGUUUGGCGGCGGCCCCGGUGGCCGUCAGGGGACGCCCACACUCCAGCCGCUGGAGGUGCGGACGCGGUUGACGCUGGAAGACGUGUACAAGGGCGUGACCAAGACGAUGCGCGUGAACCGCCCGCAGGUGUGCGCGGAUUGCACUGGCUUCGGCACCAAAAGCAAGACCGAGAAACCUAAGUGCACCCAGUGCAACGGCUCCGGACACGUUGUGCAACAGCACCGGAUGGGUCCCGGCAUGGUGCAGCAGACGAUCUCUGAGUGCCCGCGGUGCCGCGGCACCGGUACCGUGGCGAAACCGGAGGACCAAUGCCACAAGUGUCACGGCAAGGGCUACCGCACCGUAUCGCAGGACGUCACCAUUGAAAUCCCAGCCGGGGUGCCGUCGAAUGUGACACUUGUAGUGCGCGGCGAGGGCGGCACGAUCCCUGGCGCGCCGCCAGCGGACAUGCACUUGCACGUCGAGCUAAGUCCUCACCGUGUCUUUCAGCGUCGCGGCAACGACCUCAUUGUUAACAAGGACGUGACGCUGCAGGAGGCGCUUCUGGGGUUGCACAUGCCGCUGAAGUUGCUCGACGGCCGCACCGUCAACGUGGAAACAUCGGCCGAUCAGAUUUUGAAGCCAGAAGGGGUGAUCAAGGUUACGGGAGAGGGCUUGCCUGGCACCUCCGGCGAGCGCGGUGAUGUCUAUAUCUUCACGCACCUCAAGAUGCCCAACAAGCUGAGCGAUGAGCAGAAGGCGCACAUCAAGAAGGCGUUCGGCAAACCUGAAAAGGACGCUGACGCGUCGCCCGGCAACACUGUGAGGGCACGGGUGUUGCGCGAGUCUCGCGAGCAGCUGGAGGAGCAGAAGCGUAGCCUGUGGGCCUCGCAAGAGAGUGGUGGCUACAGCGGCGGCGGCGGUGGCAACUCUCGCCGCCCGGCGGGAAGCACGCAUGGUAGUGGCGCGCAGCAGGUGGAGUGUGCGACGCAGUAGUGACCUUUUUUUCCUCCUUGUUUGCACGAGUCUUUCAGAAGGUCCUCCGUUUCGAGACCAGUGACGAAGGGAGGAUGACAGUGAGGGAGUGAGACUGAGAAGCGCAACAGCGUACCCAUGGCGCUCUCCACUCGAAGAGUAACGGGCAAUAGGCGGAAUGGCUUGUUUGUGUGAGUGUCUGGCACACUUGGCUUAUGCCUACCGUUCCCGGCCGGUGCUGCCGUGCACUGGGGGUUCUCUUCUCCGCUUUCAUUGACAUCUUUGCUGUGGGCGAUUCCGUUCCCCUUCGCCAUCACUUACACGCCCGCUGCCUCUGUGUGCACGUGCGCGGUUGGCUGCGCGUCCGCUCGGACGCAAUCGUGCCCUCUGCGUGUCAGGGGCUCCAGGUCUCGUGUUCUCUUUGCUCGUCACGUCUGUGACAGCGAACGGUGUAAUCCAUCGCUGCGUUCCCAUUUCUGUCAUCGUUUUUAACGCGUUGUGGGUGUUGCGUGCGCCUGUUUUUGGUCGCUGUUCUUCUUGACGCCUUUUGUUUUGGGUGGUUUCUUCUGUUCUCUCCCGUUUCCUUUCCUGUUCUCUCUUCCAAAAUCCUGCAAAGGACAAGGCCUGCCACAUGCGUAUCUACCGCUUACUCGCCACCACGACAGACCUUCACAUCUAUUACCUAAGCAUCUUCUCGUAAUGUGCAGAAAAAAGGAGCC
rnacentral:misc_RNA from 1 species